CGGGUCGAAGCCUAAAGGUUUGGCGUUUAAAUUGGGUUUAAAAACUAGUUAGUUCGAUUCUGACCGACCCGA